rnacentral:rRNA from 1 species
GUGAGGAAUUUUCCGCAAUGGGCGAAAGCCUGACGGAGCAAUGCCGCGUGAAGGAUGAAGGCCUAUGGGUUGUAAACUUCUUUUCUCAGAAAAGAAUUAUGACGGUAUCUGAGGAAUAAGCAUCGGCUAACUCUGUGCAAACAGCCGCGGUAAGACAGAGGAUGCAAGCGUUAUCCGGAAUGAUUGGGCGUAAAGCGUCUGUAGGUUGUUUAAAAAGUAUUCUGUCAAAGAUUAGGGCUUAACCCUAGAUAGGCAGAAUAAACUUUUAAGCUAGAGUUUGGUAGAGGCAGAGGGAAGUCCCAGUGGAGCGGUGAAAUGCGUAGAUAUCGGGAGGAACACCAAAGGCGAAGGCACUCUGCUGGGCCAAUACUAACACUGAGAGACGAAAGCGAGGGGAGCAAAUGGGAUUAGAAACCCUUGUAGUCC